ACCUGCGGAAGGAUCAUUACCGAUCGAUCGCACACAGCGAACUGCACCGAGAACCCGUCAGAAACGUUGGGGGUCGUCCCGCAGGGGGGACGACGAGCGGCGAGACCGACCCUGCCUCCCGGCCCCCGCACCGACUCGCGAGAGUCGACAACAACACACUCGCAACCGAAAGACCGAAGUGACACUUAGUAAAAACUAAAACAAAAAUGAGAGACAACUCUCAACGGUGGAUCUCUUGGCUCGUGCAUCGAUGAAGAACGCAGCCAGGUGCGAUAAGUAAUGUGAAUUGCAGAACUCAGUGAAUCAUCGAAUCUUUGAACGCAAAUGGCGCUCCUGGGAUUUCCCGGGAGCGCGUCUGGUUGAGUGUGGGUUCCACAAAAGAGUCUUUUCCUUUUUUUUCUCGACUCGAGAAGAGAAUUUGGGUAGACGUUAUUGGGGAGUCGCGGCCCGAGGCCCCCGCGCCCGGCCGCGUCCCUCGAAGUGCAGAGGAUCCGACCGCCCGCCUGCGACCAGUCGCGGCGAGUCGGGGUGGCCAAAGAUCUGAUCUCGAUGGAACCACCUUCCGACCCGCCGGCCCGACUGGCUCGCACCCGGCGAGCGCGGCCGACCGACCGAAACCUUUUACAAUCUUCACCUCAACUCAGGCGAGACUACCCGCUGAAUUUAAGCAUAUCAAUANUGUGAAAAGAAC
rnacentral:rRNA from 1 species